AUUUAAGCAGAUAUUUUGGUGUGUUUCAGUAACGACAUAACCGACAUCAUGCUGAAGGUAAUAUUUCUCCUGUCCUGCCUUGUGGCUAGCGGUCUCUGCACUUAUUAUGGUAAUUCCUAUGGCUAUGGAUUGGGAUCAAUUUUAGACGGUGGAUACGGAAACGACUUUGGCCUCCUUGGUUAUGGGGGGUUGGGAACCGGAUAUGGAAACUACUACGGUCGUGGAGGCUACGGACACGGUGGAUACAGAUAUGGAGGCUACGGGCGUGGAUACGGAAACAGGUGGAUGAGACGGCGAUCUAGAUUUGGUGGAUACUAAAUCAAUUGUCGCCAGUUCUUACAGUUCCAGAUUCAUCUUGUCAAGCAUUAUUUACCAUUUCCAUUAAUUUAUUACCAAAAAUAUGUUAC